rnacentral:rRNA from 1 species
CACCGGAAGAUUUAGUGGCGAACGGGUGAGGAUCACGUGAGAAACGUGCCCCAGACUCUGGGAUAACAAUUGGAAACGAUUGCUAAUACCGGAUGACGUCGGAGAAUCGCAUGAUUCACUGACGAAAGAUAUUUCGGUUUGGGAGCGUCUCGCGGCCUAUCAGCUUGUUGGUGGGGUAAUGGCCUACCAAGGCAACGACGGGUAGCUGGUCUGAGAGGAUGAUCAGCCACACUGGGACUGAGACACGGCCCAGACUCCUACGGGAGGCAGCAGUGGGGAAUCUUGCGCAAUGGGCGAAAGCCUGACGCAGCAACGCCGCGUGCGGGAUGAAGGCCUUCGGGCUGUAAACCGCUUUCAGCAGGAACGAAAAUGACGGUACCUGCAGAAGAAGGAGCGGCCAACUACGUGCCAGCAGCCGCGGUGACACGUAGGCUCCAAGCGUUGUCCGGAUUUAUUGGGCGUAAAGAGCUCGUAGGCGGUUGAGUAAGUCGGGUGUGAAAACUCUGGGCUUAACCCGGAGACGCCAUCCGAUACUGCUCUGACUAGAGUUCAGGAGGGGAGUGGGGAAUUCCUAGUGUAGCGGUGAAAUGCGCAGAUAUUAGGAGGAACACCGGUGGCGAAGGCGCCACUCUGGACUGAAACUGACGCUGAGGAGCGAAAGCAUGGGUAGCAAACAGGAUUAGAUACCCUGGUAGUCCAUGCCGUAAACGGUGGGCACUAGGUGUGGGUUCCAACUAACGGGAUCCGCGCCGUCGCUAACGCAUUAAGUGCCCCGCCUGGGGAGUACGGUCGCAAGACUAAA